rnacentral:rRNA from 1 species
CGUGAAGCUGGAUUCGCUAGUAAUCGCGCAUCAGCCAUGGCGCGGUGAAUACGUUCCCGGGCCUUGUACACGCCGCCCGUCAAGCCAUGGAAGCCGGGAGUGCCUGAAGUGUGCAACCGCAAGGAGCGCCCUAAGGUAAAACUGGUGACUGGGGCUAAGUCGUAACAAGGUACC